CCCCCAAAACCAGAGAAGCCUAAGGGCAUGC
rnacentral:piRNA from 1 species